rnacentral:sRNA from 1 species
GAGCCGAGACAAAGAAACAGCACGUGCUUCGUGAGCGGACACCGGCGAGACGACACGAGCUGAGCCGAGGCAACAAUACGUUAAGGUCUUUGAGAAGAGUGGUUUACACCAACGGAUCCAUGCAACUGUGCUAGCAGAAGCUGAGUAGCCCAUAGGCCAUGGCGGCGACGAAGACUGUUUUUUUUUUUUGUCAUGGAAAAACUCACACCCCUUUUCUAUUCUUUUUUAUAAAAAUUAAUGAUUAUAAUUAAGACCAAAAGAGCCAAUUUUUGGGAUGAGGAAAAUUGGUUCAAACUUAAAGGAGGUCUUGUUUUAUCUGAGCUCUGGGCUUCGCGGAGUACAUCUGUACCUGCUUUCUCUGCUAGCAAAGGAGGAUAGCAAGAUGAAGUUGGUAGAGGAGACUUCAAACCAAAUACCUCUUGCUUCUUUUUGGAUGUAACUUCAUCUAAGUUUUCCGAUAUUUUUCCUCUCUCGAAUACUUUUAAUAGCAAGAAUGUAUAGAAAAGCUGAAUAAGAUACAAAAAUUUGGGGACACUAUGGACACACUGC